CCUACGUGGAGCUGCAGUGGGGAAUAUUGGACAAUGGGCGAAAGCCUGAUCCAGCCAUGCCGCGUGUGUGAAGAAGGCCUUCGGGUUGUAAAGCACUUUCAGUGGGGAAGAAAGCCUUGGGGCUAAUACCCUCGAGGAAGGACAUCACCCACAGAAGAAGCACCGGCUAACUCCGUGCCAGCAGCCGCGGUAAUACGGAGGGUGCGAGCGUUAAUCGGAAUUACUGGGCGUAAAGCGCGCGUAGGCGGUCUGAUAAGCCGGUUGUGAAAGCCCCGGGCUCAACCUGGGAACGGCAUCCGGAACUGUCAGGCUAGAGUGCAGGAGAGGAAGGUAGAAUUCCCGGUGUAGCGGUGAAAUGCGUAGAGAUCGGGAGGAAUACCAGUGGCGAAGGCGGCCUUCUGGACUGACACUGACGCUGAGGUGCGAAAGCGUGGGUAGCAAACAGGAUUAGAUACCCUAGUAGUC
rnacentral:rRNA from 1 species